GGUCCCAUAGCUUAACUGAAUAGAGCAUCGCACUACGGAUGCGAAGGUUACAGGUUUGAAUCCUGUUGGGAUCA
rnacentral:tRNA from 1 species